rnacentral:rRNA from 1 species
UACGUAGGGGGCAAGCGUUGUCCGGAUUUAUUGGGCGUAAAGAGCGUGUAGGCGGCUUUACAGGUCCGUUGUGAAAACUCGAGGCUCAACCUCGAGACGCCGGUGGAAACCGUAAGGCUAGAGUCCGGAAGAGGAGAGUGGAAUUCCUGGUGUAGCAGUGAAAUGCGCAGAUAUCAGGAGGAACACCCGUGGCGAAAGCGGCUCUCUGGGACGGUACUGACGCUGAGACGCGAAAGCGUGGGGAGCAAACAGG